rnacentral:rRNA from 1 species
AAUCUUGAUGCUUCAUAUAACCAAAGCAUCCGCCUGAGAACUACGAGCACAAACGCUUAAAACUCUAAGGACUUGGCGGUGUCCCAAACCCACCUAGAGGAGCCUGUUCUAUAAUCGAUAACCCACGAUACACCCGACCACUUCUUGCCAAAACAGCCUACAUACCGCCGUCGCCAGCUCACCUCUUUUGAGAGCGCCACAGUGAGCACAAUCGCCCUAACCCCGCUAACAAGACAGGUCAAGGCAUAGCUCAUGAAGUGGAAGAAAUGGGCUACAUUUUCUAGCUUAGAAAACUCACGAAAAGGGGCAUGAAAUAGCCCCUAGAAGGCGGAUUUAGCAGUAAAGCGGGAUAACAUAAGCCCCCUUUAAGCCGGCCCUGGGGCACGUACACAC